rnacentral:rRNA from 1 species
AUACGUAGGUGGCAAGCGUUGUCCGGAAUUAUUGGGCGUAAAGAGCAUGUAGGCGGGCUUUUAAGUCCGGCGUGAAAAUGCGGGGCUCAACCCCGUAUGGCGUUGGAAACUGGAAGUCUUGAGUGCAGGAGAGGAAAGGGGAAUUCCCAGUGUAGCGGUGAAAUGCGUAGAUAUUGGGAGGAACACCAGUGGCGAAGGCGCCUUUCUGGACUGUGUCUGACGCUCAGAUGCGAAAGCCAGGGUAGCAAACGGGAUUAGAUACCCCGGUAGUCCUGGCCGUAAACGAUGGGUACUAGGUGUAGGAGGUAUCGACCCCUUCUGUGCCGGAGUUAACGCAAUAAGUACCCCGCCUGGGGACUACGAUCGCAAGAUUGAA